rnacentral:ncRNA from 2 species
GACUUCCUUCGGGGCGGGGUGAAAUUCCCUACCGGCGGUGAUGUCGCUUCAGGUGGCGCGGGCCGUCCCGCGUCACCCGAGCGGAGCGAGCAGAAGGCUCGCCUGUUCACGAACUGACUCAGCCCGCGAAGCCCGCGCAGACUGCACCACGCGCAGGCCCGAUCCAGUGAAACUCUGGAGCCGACGGUGUUAUGGCGCGCAGAGACGCUUUCGGCGUUCUGUCUGGCCCAUUCAGUCCGGAUGAGAGAAGGAGGAA